ACAUCCAGAGAACUUAGCAGAGAUGCUUUGGUGCCUUCGGGAACUCUGAGACAGGUGCUGCAUGGCUGUCGUCAGCUCGUGUUGUGAAAUGUUGGGUUAAGUCCCGCAACGAGCGCAACCCUUAUCCUUUUGUUGCCAGCGGUUCGGCCGGGAACUCAAAGGAGACUGCCGGUGAUAAACCGGAGGAAGGUGGGGAUGACGUCAAGUCAUCAUGGCCCUUACGGCCAGGGCUACACACGUGCUACAAUGGCGCAUACAAAGAGAAGCGACCUCGCGAGAGCAAGCGGACCUCAUAAAGUGCGUCGUAGUCCGGAUUGGAGUCUGCAACUCGACUCCAUGAAGUCGGAAUCGCUAGUAAUCGUAGAUCAGAAUGCUACGGUGAAUACGUUCCCGGGCCUUGUACACACCGCCCGUCACACCAUGGGAGUGGGUUGCAAAAGAAGUAGGUAGCUUAACCUUCGGGAGGGCGCUUACCACUUUGUGAUUCAUGACUGGGGUGAAGUCGUAACAAGGUAAGCGUAGCGAG
rnacentral:rRNA from 1 species